UACGUAGGGGGCAAGCGUUAUCCGGAUUUACUGGGUGUAAAGGGGGCGCAGACGGCCAUGGCAAGCCCGGUGUGAAAGGCAGGGGCAUAACCCCCGGACUGCUCUGGAAACUAUGUUACUGGAGUGCAGGAGAGGUAAGCGGAAUUCCUAGUGUAGCGGUGAAAUGCGUAGAUAUUAGGAGGAACACCAGUGGCGAAGGCGGCUUACUGGACUGUAACUGACGUUGAGGCUCGAAAGCGUGGGGAGCAAACAGG
rnacentral:rRNA from 1 species